rnacentral:rRNA from 1 species
UACGUAGGGCGCAAGCGUUAUCCGGAAUUAUUGGGCGUAAAGAGCUCGUAGGCGGUUUGUCGCGUCUGCCGUGAAAGUCCGGGGCUCAACUCCGGAUCUGCGGUGGGUACGGGCAGACUAGAGUGAUGUAGGGGAGACGGGAAUUCCUGGUGUAGCGGUGAAAUGCGCAGAUAUCAGGAGGAACACCGAUGGCGAAGGCAGGUCUCUGGGCAUUAACUGACGCUGAGGAGCGAAAGCAUGGGGAGCGAACAGG